rnacentral:rRNA from 3 species
AAAUUGAAGAGUUUGAUCAUGGCUCAGAUUGAACGCUGGCGGCAGGCCUAACACAUGCAAGUCGAACGGUAACAGGAAGCAGCUUGCUGUUUUGCUGACGAGUGGCGGACGGGUGAGUAAUGUCUGGGAAACUGCCUGAUGGAGGGGGAUAACUACUGGAAACGGUGGCUAAUACCGCAUAACGUCGCAAGACCAAAGAGGGGGACCUUCGGGCCUCUUGCCAUCAGAUGUGCCCAGAUGGGAUUAGCU